AGCGCCAUGUGCGCCGGAGUCCCUUUCACCCCGCGUGCACCUGAGUUGUUUUUACCCCCCAGCAGCAGAUAUGUUGUGAAUUUGUCACUUAUCAGGGGGCGGGCUGUCAAAGGCCAUUUUAGGCGCAAUAACUUUCCCAGAUGGAUUUAGCCUGCCAACUUAGUGCACCUCUCAGCAGCGAGGUGAAUGAGACUGCAUGCCUGUUGCUCCCCACAACUGUCUCUGAGCCUACUAAUGAAGACUAAUUAAAACAUGACAAACAUCGACCUUUAUCCUAAACAGAGCUGCGGUUUGAAUUAUGCAAAUAAACUCUCCAUAUGAUCCAAAUAGGGGGCAUAUUUCUUACAUGUGUGUCUAAAUGUUCCUGCUCUGUAUGGCCACAUACACAACAGGUGUCUGGGCUUUUUUUUUUUUUAGGAUACUAGUCUAAUGAUGGACUAACUUAAAUAUAUUUUAUAUUUUGAUAAACAUGUGUUUCUUUUACACAAUUCAAAGCCCAUAGCCAGGCCUACACAGAGCUAAUUUUAAAAUCAUGAGUUGGAUCCAGAUUGACAGAGCAUCAUCUUUAUAUUUUAUUAUUUUAUUAUUUAUAGAAAACUAAAGAAAUGAGCACGGAUAUUGACCUGCGGUGUAAAUUCUCAGCCUUCUAUCUGUGAGUUUUCCACCAAAAUGCAGAGUUUUUUGUUGUCAGCCUCUCAGGAUCAGAUCAUGCAAUGGAAAUGCUCAGCCUGAUUUAUUCCAUUACCUUUUAUUCAGUUGUUAUUAUUACCCUGGUCGAUUUACAGAGUCUGAUCUGGGCUGUAAGAUGCACUGGGUGUGUUUAAUUUACACUGGGAAGGAUUUGUUUGGAUGGCAUGCAUAAUGUGCCAUCACCUGAGGUUUAGGCUGUCAUUUUAUUAUUGUCCUGCGGAGGAAGAAGAGGAAUCAACAGGAAUGGCACACAAGGCUGAGCAUGCUGACUGAACUGAUAAAUCCCACUGAGACGUGAACUGUUGUUUACACUGCUAAAGAUGAUGCUGUAGUCUAUUCCCUGUGUUUUUAUGUAGAUGUUCUGCUUUUUAUUCUUUUGAUUUAGCCCUAAAGCGCUGGAAGAAUGGCCACAAAACAAGUGGCUACCCAAAUGAGUAAAUGAAGAAAAGGUGUGAGCGGAUAAUUACGCCCUCAGACAGGAAGGCGUAGGGAAGGCAGGGAGCAGCCUGAGACUGCCAUUUGAAUGGGAUCUGAGAGGUAAUUUGAGCUAAAAUGGAGUCCACUUCUGAGCCACUCACUCAGCCCCCCAUGGCAUCCACUGUAAUUCAUUAUUCCUGGCCGGCUCUGGGAGAGGCAAUGAGCGAGGGCAGAGGACAAGAGUGGACCCAGCUCUGGUGUAAUGAAGACUCAGUAGACCUAAACCACUCACGCGCACACACACACAAUCUUUCAUUAUAUAUCACAGAGAGCAGGACAUUAAUGCCACUGAAGACCUUUUGGCAGAGAAAUAAGAGUGUGCAAUGAUUUUCUCCACACUCAAUCCAUUUCAUUGACCUUUUCUAUCAUGCAUGUGACUCUGCCCCGCUCAUUGCACUGUGAGAUAAAUAUUCCAAGAAUAAUCUUCCUGCUACUGUUUAAUAAAUUAUCUUUUUGAAUCUGAAUUUUUAUCUUCAUGGGUGAGUUUAAGCGGCUUUAAAAAGUAUUUUAAAAAUACUGGUACGCCUUUCUCAAGUUUUCUAUUUUGUAUGCAGCAUUGCAUACUUAAAGAUGCAUUUUUAAAAAACAUACAGAGCUGCUUGUCUCAGGUCAAUAAAUACACUAUGAUUUAUGUUUUGUCCAAAGCCUCAAGAGAUCCUAAAUUUAGUCUUCAUAAAAGUAUUUGGAGAAGGGUUUCUGCAUGAUCAAGCCCUGCAAGACAUUGCUGUUCCUUGUCCCUCCACUAGGGGUCCACAGAGCUCAUGGUAGUAAUGUCCAGACAAGCUGAGAGGAUAAAUACUGUCAUCUGGUGGUAACAAAAGCCAUCACUGCUGAGCAGGCAGCACUGUAAUCUCACACCAUACUGCAUGAUUUAUUUCUCUAAAACAUCCUCUCAGUCCUUCCUCUCUCCAGCAUGUCUUUGUGCCACCUGGAUGCAUGCAACAUUUGUCAGGAUGUAUUAUGGAAAAAUCACCUGAGAGCCUUUUUAAAUGUGUUUGACAGGCAGAGUGAGGGGACAGGACAGGAGCUCCCUCAGCCAAGACGUUUACAGCAGAGACUCGGAGUCUCAAAGUGCUGAGAGGACCUGAGUUUCAUAUGUCUGUACAGGACAUGCAUUGGACUUUGUACUGACUUUGCAUUGAUGCUCUGAUGUUUUUCUUUCUCCGGCUGUGUCAAAUUGUAA